rnacentral:rRNA from 1 species
AUUGAACGCUGGCGGCAGGCUUAACACAUGCAAGUCGAACGGCAGCACAGGCUUCGGCCGGGUGGCGAGUGGCGGACGGGUGAGUAACACGUAGGAAUCUGCCUGGUAAUGGGGGAUAACCCGGGGAAACUCGGGCUAAUACCGCAUACGCUCCACGGAGGAAAGCGGGGGAUCUUCGGACCUCGCGUUAUCAGAUGAGCCUGCGUCCGAUUAGCUAGUUGGCGGGGUAAAGGCCCACCAAGGCGACGAUCGGUAGCUGGUCUGAGAGGACGAUCAGCCACACUGGAACUGAGACACGGUCCAGACUCCUACGGGAGGCAGCAGUGGGGAAUAUUGGACAAUGGGCGCAAGCCUGAUCCAGCCAUGCCGCGUGUGUGAAGAAGGCCUGCGGGUUGUAAAGCACUUUAAGCAGGAAAGAAGGCUUCGGGGCUAAUACCCCCGGAGAUUGACGUUACCUGCAGAAUAAGCACCGGCUAACUCCGUGCCAGCCGCCGCGGUAA